GAUGAAGAACGCAGCGAAAUGCGAUAAGUAGUGUGAAUUGCAGAAUUCAGUGAAUCAUCGAAUCUUUGAACGCACAUUGCGCCUCCUGGUAUUCCGUGAGGCAUGCCUGUUCGAGCGUCAUUAAAAUCACUCAAGCUUAGGUUUACCUAUUGCUUGGUCUUGGAGAUGGAAGCCAAUUUAUUGGAAUCCUCUUCGAAAUUCAAUGGCGAAGACCCUUGCUCUCCCAAGUGUAGUAAUAACUUAUGUCACUGAAGGAAGCGAGAAAUCUUCUGCCGUAACCCCCAUAUUUUCUAUGAUUGACCUCGGAUCAGGUAGGGAUACCCGCUGAACUUAAGCAUAUCAAUAAGCGGAGGA
rnacentral:misc_RNA from 1 species